GUGUUACGACUUAUCUCCCUUUAUUAGGAAGAGCGACGGGCGAUGUGUACACAUCUCAGAGCUUUUUUCAAGUUACUUUACUAAAGUAAGUUUACUUCCAAAUCCACCUUAAAUCAUUUUUUCAUUAAAUUUCCGUUUAAUUUAUUAUUAAUGUAACCCAUCGCCACCCUCUUAUAGGCUGCACCUUGACCUGAAGUUAGUGAAAUAGUUAAUUUUGAUAAUUUCUUUUAAGAAUUAUCUGGCAACGGAGGUAUACAAAACUAAAUAAAAGAGGGUAAGGUUUAGCGUGGACUGUCGAUUAUGGGACAGGUUCCUCUGGAAAGAGUGAGAUGCCGUCAAAUUCUUUGGGUUUGAAGAUUUACUUUUACUACCCUGGCAAAAUUAGAUAAGAAUAAUAGGGUAUUUAAU
rnacentral:rRNA from 1 species